rnacentral:lncRNA from 1 species
AUCCAAACGACCGGGAGUCACGCGUGGACUCUUUCGCGCGAGGGUAGGUGUGCAGACCGGCCAGGCGAGCCUCGCGUCCGGCAUCGCAAGCGCCGGCAGUUUCCUUCUUGGUUCUUGGGAUGGUGUUUUGCUUCUGCGCCCGCGCUGGUAGGAGCUAUGCGCCCUACCCGCCUACCUCGUGCACUUGUCCACGGUAGAUUUAAACCACACACGAAUUCGAAAAACAAAGUGAAACUACAUCCACGCCCAGUGGGAGAUGAGUUACCAAGCAUGUCCUGAAGAUGAAGAUACUCUCAGCCUAACGUCUCCAAGCAAAUAUUGAUUCAGCAGUAUCCCCAGGCAAAGCCACACCAUAUAUCAGUGAACAGAGAAACAACUGCCCUUCUCCGGGCCCCUGUCUGAGAAGCUGGAGCAUCAGCCCUGGAGCUCUCCGGAGCAGUUUCCUUGCUCACUGUCCCCAGCUGAACACAGGUUGGUCAGAUCUACUCCCGUUCCCACUCUGCCCCCAUCUCUCCCCUCUGUGCUUGCCAAGCAGUAAGUAGACUGCUCAUAUUUGUGGAAUGAGUAGUGUGUUGGUGUCCCCAGUAGCAGACCUGGCAAUGAGACUUCAUGUGCCAUAUGAAGGGAGUGUUCCAGGGGACAAAAAUAAGGGAAUAGAGAUAGGACAAGGGUGGGUGAGGGGGCAGAGCACUGGAGUUGGGCUGUCCCCCUCACCUCCACUCCUAAACGUCAGACUGCAGGGUUCUUCAAGGAACACAGAAACUCAGGCAUGUGUGCCGAAGCAAUGGCAGGAAGCAAUGAGGACCUGGGUGGGGUGCCUGUGUCUGUCAGUACAACUGUCUGGCUUUCUACUGCUGUGAUGAAAUACUGUGACCAAAAGCCACUUGGGUAGGAAAGAGGUUAUUUUACAUUACAGCUUCUAAGUCCACCACUGUGGGAAAGCCAGGGCAGAAACCUAGAGCAGAAACCAAGGAAACACUGCCUACUGGCCUGUUCUCAUGGUUUGCCCAUCCUGUUUUCUUAUACCAUCUAGGACCACUUACCCAUGGGUGCCACUGCCCACAGUGAGAUGGACCCUCCCACAUCAAUUAUCAGUCAAGAAAAUGUCCCACAGACCAAUUCUGUGGAGGGACAUUUUUUUUCAGUUGAUGGUCUCUUCCCAACUGAUUCUAGCUGUGUUGAGAUGACAUAAAUAGUAGCCAGCAUACCAUCCAAACAGACAGCAAAGCCAAGGCAGCCUUCAGGCCUGCUGUCACUUCAUCCUGUCCUUCCUAGGACCAGAGGGGAUACUGCCUGCUCAGGAAAGCCAAGAGGAGCCUGCUUCUCCUGAAAUGUAAAAAGUACACUGUGCAUAUGGAAAGCAUUAUUGUGUUUCACUGUGCAUCGCCAGAUUCUUCUUGCAAAACAUUGAAGCUUAGCUCAUAAUUUGGUGAUAAAAUAUUGAUUAUUUAUCCACAGCCGCAUGCAGAGGUCCAAAGCACGUAAACAGGAUACCCACCCUGCAUUAUCUUAUAUUUUAAGUCAAUAUGAAGAUGGACAUUCUACCCCUGAGACCAAUUUCGAUCAAAUACUUUUGUCAAUAAAAAGAUACUAAUGUC